GCGUAUUGAAAUUCUCGCGCGAUUUAGUAAAGUGCGUCAAAAUCUUCACGUGAUUUGAGGUAGAAUUUUGAGAGUUGCGCGCGACCUCAGAUAUGCGCGCACUACGAGGUAGGAGAGGCGGCACUCAUUGUAGGACGCUGAUGUGCCUGAGUUCGCGCGCACUUGGAGUCCGUGCGCGCACAAGCCCACAUGGGGGGGGG
rnacentral:lncRNA from 1 species